UUUGUGGAGAGUUUGAUCCUGGCUCAGGACGAACGCUGGCGGCAUGCCUAACACAUGCAAGUCGAACGGAGAGCUGAAGUUUCGAUGGAAGCUCUAAGUGGCGGACGGGUGAGUAACGCGUGGACAACCUGCCGGAGAGUGGGGGAUAACAGUCCGAAAGGGCUGCUAAUACCGCAUAACGUUGUCUGGGGACAUCCCCGGACAACCAAAGGAGCAAUCCGCUUUCCGAUGGGUCCGCGUCCGAUUAGCUAGUUGGUAGGGUAACGGCCUACCAAGGCGACGAUCGGUAGCCGGCCUGAGAGGGUGAACGGCCACACUGGGACUGAGACACGGCCCAGACUCCUACGGGAGGCAGCAGUGGGGAAUCUUCCGCAAUGGGCGAAAGCCUGACGGAGCAAUGCCGCGUGGGGGAUGAAGGUCUUCGGAUUGUAAACCCUUGUCUUCGGGGAAGAAGAAUGACGGUACCUGAGGAGGAAGCCCCGGCUAACUACGUGCCAGCAGCCGCGGUAAUACGUAGGGGGCAAGCGUUGUCC
rnacentral:rRNA from 1 species